AUUGAACGCUGGCGGCAGGCUUAACACAUGCAAGUCGAGCGAGCGGCGGACGGGUGAGUAAUGUCUGGGAAAGUGCCUUAUGGCGGGGGAUAACUACUGGAAAGGGUGGCUAAUACCGCAUAUUAUCAGAUGUGCCCAUAUGGGAUUAGCUAGUAGGUGGGGUAAUGGCUCACCUAGGCGACGAUCCCUAGCUGGUCUGAGAGGAUGACCAGCCACACUGGAACUGAGACACGGCCCAGACUCCUACGGGAGGCAGCAGUGGGGAAUAUUGCACAAUGGGGGAAAGCCUGAUGCAGCCAUGCCGCGUGUGUGAAGAAGGCCUUCGGGUUGUAAAGCACUUUCAGCGAGGAGGCGUUACUCGCAGAAGAAGCACCGGCUAACUACGUGCCAGCAGCCGCGGUAAUUC
rnacentral:rRNA from 1 species